AGGAUGAACGCUGGCGGUAUGCUUAACACAUGCAAGUCGAACGAAAGCUUUAUGCUUUAGUGGCGAACGGGUGCGUAAUACGUGAGAAUCUGCCCUUAGGAGGAGAAUAACUUCUGGAAACGGUUGCUAAGUCUCCAUAUGCCGAGAGGUGAAAUAGUUUACACUGCCUAGGGAUGAGCUCACGCCUGAUUAGCUUGUUGGUAAGGUAAUGGCUUACCAAGGCCACGAUCAGUAGCUGGUUUGAGAGAACGAUCAGCCACACUGGGACUGAGACACGGCCCAGACUCCUCCGGGAGGCAGCAGUGAGGAAUUUUCCGCAAUGGGCGAAAGCCUGACGGAGCAAUACCGCGUGAGGGAUGAAGGAUUUUGGUCUGUAAACCUCUUUUCUCAAGAAAGAAGUUCUGACGGUACUUGAGGAAUAAACAUCGGCUAACUCCGUGCCAGCAGCCGCGGUAAUACGGGGGAUGCAAGCGUUAUCCGGAUUUAUUGGGCGUAAAGCGCCUGUAGGUUGUUUAAUAAGUCUGUUGUUAAAGACUAGGGCUUAACCCUAGGAAAGCAAUGGAAACUACUAGACUUGAGUAUGAUAGGGGUAGAGGGAAUUUCUAGUGUAGCGGUGAAAUGCGUAGAUAUUAGAAAGAACACCGGUGGCGAAGGCGCUCUACUGGAUCAUUACUGACACUCAGAGGCGAAAGCUAGGGUAGCAAAAGGGAUUAGAUACCCCUGUAGUCCUAGCCGUAAACGAUGGAUACUACAUGUUGCGUUUUUAAUGCAGUAUGGUAGCUAACGCGUUAAGUAUCCCGCCUGGGGAGUACGCUCGCAAGGGUGAAACUCAAAGGAAUUGACGGGGGCCCGCACAAGCGGUGGAGCAUGUGGUUUAAUUCGAUGCAACGCGAAGAACCUUACCAAGGCUUGACAUACUACGAAUUUCUUUGAAAGAGGAAGGUGCCUUCGGGAACGUAGAUACAGGUGGUGCAUGGCUGUCGUCAGCUCGUGUCGUGAGAUGUUGGGUUAAGUCCCGCAACGAGCGCAACCCUUAUUUUUAGUUGCUAAUUUUAAUUAGGUUUUCUAGAGAGACUGCCGGUGACAAACCGGAGGAAGGUGAGGAUGACGUCAAGUCAGCAUGCCCCUUAUGCCUUGGGCUACACACGUGCUACAAUGGUUAAGACAAAGAGUUGCGAGCUUGCGAAAGUCAGCUAAUCUCAUAAACUUAGCCUAAGUUCGGAUUGUAGGCUGCAACUCGCCUGCAUGAAGUCGGAAUCGCUAGUAAUCGCU
rnacentral:rRNA from 1 species